AAACCACAAUAGACCACUUUCAUUAAAAUGAAUAAAAGAGUGAAACAUCUCAUUUUCCACAUCUAGGGUCAAAAAAGAAAACAUGGAUUGGAGGUAUGGCAAUGGUGAGAUGUCCUCUAUCUUCCUAUUUGAGGCUAGUGGAGACUCAGAAGGAGGUUUCAACCACCAUGAUGACUUGCAAAAUCUUUUUUCAAUGUGUCAUGGCGUUUCUAAAGCUGAUGCUGAUACUGAUGCAGAUAUGAAUGCAGAUGCUGAGUCAUGUAGCUAUGAUUCAAGUGACAUACUAAGUUUUCAUGAUGAGAUCAAAAACUUCAGUGUUCAAGAUCAAGUUUUUAGCGAUGAUAUCCGUCAUGAUGAUGUUGAUGGUAGGAGUGGUAAUGGACACGUUCAUUACAAGUGCGAUUGUAGUUGUCAAAUUGAAGGAUUGUCAGGGGUCACCUUGGAAAUUGUGCCGAGAAAGGAGGGAGAAGAUGAGUCAAGGGUUGGUGUCCAUGGAAAUAGGGAGGAGAUGGUGGAUGAGAUGGAGAGAAACAAGCUAUUUUGGGAGACUUGCUUGGAAGUAGGGCUACCCAUGAAUUGAAAGUUGUGUUUGGAUUAUGGACUUGAAUAAGGAUUUGAAAAGAGAAAGAAAAAAAGGUAAGCAGGUACGUGACCAGGCCCAAAGUUGACGGCCUAUGUUUCUCUUUUGUUAGCCAAUUACCGUGCCUCCUGAGGAGGUUCCUUUUAAGAGGAUUAUGUCAAGGCUUAAGUUAAGCUUGUUUUGUAUAUCUGUACUUGGGCUAAGUAUCCUUUGAUCCUAUCUGUGUAGUUGGGUGAUGUAAGACUAAUGUAUUUUUGA